rnacentral:lncRNA from 1 species
UGGGACUCACGAUAGAAAGACUAAAUCAUACGAUAACUGCACCUAGAGGUUCAUACUUUCAUUUUACUAGAUUUUCACUACAUGCUACAAGGUAUCAUUAGUGGAUUGUGGGACUUAUCGAGUGUCGUCUUGAUGAUCGAUGACCCUCAAAGGAUAGAAUUAGAAAUGUUCCAACCCACUGAAAAAAGUUUCGAUGAUAUUAUGAUGGAGAUUAUAAUAUAUCUCACUAUC